rnacentral:rRNA from 2 species
UACGUAGGGUACGAGCGUUGUCCGGAAUUAUUGGGCGUAAAGAGCUCGUAGGUGGUUGGUCACGUCUGCUGUGGAAACGCAACGCUUAACGUUGCGCGGGCAGUGGGUACGGGCUGACUAGAGUGCAGUAGGGGAGUCUGGAAUUCCUGGUGUAGCGGUGAAAUGCGCAGAUAUCAGGAGGAACACCGGUGGCGAAGGCGGGACUCUGGGCUGUGACUGACACUGAGGAGCGAAAGCAUGGGGAGCGAACAGG